GACAGAGGCCUCGAGCGUUAGGCGGAAUCACUGGGCUUAAAGCGUGUGUAGGCGGAUCGUUAAGUGCCUUGUGAAAUCCCACGGCUCAACCGUGGAACUGCUGGGCAUACUGGGAGUCUUGAGAGACCUAGGGGCUGUCGGAACAAGUGGUGGAGCGGUGAAAUGCGUAGAUAUCACUUGGAACGCCGAAGGUGAAAACAGACAGCUGGGGGUCUUCUGACGCUGAGACGCGAAAGCCAGGGGAGCAAACGGG
rnacentral:rRNA from 1 species